rnacentral:rRNA from 1 species
UACGGGGGGAGCAAGCGUUGUUCGGAUUUACUGGGCGUAAAGGGCGCGUAGGCGGCGUGACAAGUCACUUGUGAAAUCUCCGGGCUUAACCCGGAGCGGCCAAGUGAUACUGUCGUGCUAGAGUGCGGAAGGGGCUACUGGAAUUCUCGGUGUAGCGGUGAAAUGCGUAGAUAUCAGGAGGAACACCGGUGGCGAAGGCGGGUCUCUGGGACGGUACUGACGCUGAGACGCGAAAGCGUGGGGAGCGAACAGG